AGUGAACGCUGGCGGCAGGCCUAACACAUGCAAGUCGAACGGCAGCACAGCAGAGCUUGCUCUGUGGGUGGCGAGUGGCGGACGGGUGAGGAAUACGUCGGAAUCUGCCUAUUUGUGGGGGAUAACGUAGGGAAACUUACGCUAAUACCGCAUACGCCUACGGGGAAAGCGGAGGACCUUCGGCUUCGUCGCAGAUAGAUGAGCCGACGUCGGA
rnacentral:rRNA from 1 species